GAUUAAUGCUGGUAGUCUAACGACCAACUAUUCAACUAUACUUUGCAUCAUUUUACGACUUCGGCAGAUAUGUAAUAAUCUGGCAUUGUGCCCUUCAGAUCUGAGGUCGCUUCUCCCUUCUAAAUGCAUUGAAGAUGUAUCCAAUAACACUGAGUUGCUUGAAAAAGUGGUUGCUGUGCUACAAGAUGGUGAAGAUUUUGACUGCCCAAUCUGCAUUUGUCCACCAACUGAUACUGUAAUUACACGCUGUGCUCACAUAUUUUGCCGACCCUGCAUUCUGAAAACCCUGCAGCGUAUGAAGCCCUGCUGUCCACUUUGUCGCCGUUCUCUGACAAUGUCUGACCUGUUCUCAGCCCCUCCUGAAUCUUCUCACACUGAAAUUUCUUCUUCAAGGUCAACUGACUCUUCCAAGGUCUCUACCCUCAUAAGACUCCUCAUAGCUGUGAGAAUUAAAGAUCCAACUGCAAAGUCGGUUGUUUUUUCUCAAUUCCAGAAGAUGAUGUUGGUAUUACUUGAGGAGCCACUAAAAGCAGCAGGAUUCAAGAUCUUGCGUUUAGAUGGAUCAAUGAAUGCAAAAAAGAGGGCUCAAGUAAUAAAGGAAUUUGGAGUGCCGGGACCUGGUGGACCCAACGUUCUGCUUGCAAGUCUCAAGGCUUCAGGAGCUGGUAUAAACCUUGCAGCCGCUUCUAAAGUGUAUUUGUUGGAGCCAUGGUGGAACCCAGCAGUUGAGGAACAGGCUAUGGACCGUGUCCACAGAAUUGGACAGAAGGAGGAGGUAACGAUUGUAAGGUUGAUUGCUCGAAACAGCAUUGAGGAAAGGAUAUUAGAGAUGCAGGAAAGGAAGAAGAAGCUGGCAAAGGAAGCUUUUGGAAGGCGGGGGGCAAAAGCGCAUGAGGUUAGAGUAGAUGAUCUUCGUGCACUCAUGUCCUUGUGAGUUCUUAUUGUUAUUUUGUUUUACGUGUAUGGGUUGC
rnacentral:misc_RNA from 1 species